rnacentral:rRNA from 1 species
GCAAGUCGAGCGGAGAUGAGGUGCUUGCACCUUAUCUUAGCGGCGGACGGGUGAGUAAUGCUUAGGAAUCUGCCAUUUAGUGGGGGACAACAUUCCGAAAGGAAUGCUAAUACCGCAUACUUCCUACGGGAGAAAGCAGGGGAUCUUCGGACCUUGCGCUAAAUGAUGAGCCUAAAUCGGAUUAGCUAGUUGGUGGGGUAAAGGCCUACCAAGGCGACGAUCUGUAGCGGGUCUGAGAGGAUGAUCCGCCACACUGGGACUGAGACACGGCCCAGACUCCUACGGGAGGCAGCAGUGGGGAAUAUUGGACAAUGGGCGGAAGCCUGAUCCAGCCAUGCCGCGUGUGUGAAGAAGGCCUUUUGGUUGUAAAGCACUUUAAGCGAGGAGGAGGCUACUAGUACUAAUACUACUGGAUAGUGGACGUUACUCGCAGAAUAAGCACCGGCUAACUCUGUGCCAGCAGCCGCGGUAAUACAGAGGGUGCGAGCGUUAAUCGGAUUUACUGGGCGUAAAGCGUGCGUAGGCGGCUUUUUAAGUCGGAUGUGAAAUCCCCGAGCUUAACUUGGGAAUUGCAUUCGAUACUGGGAAGCUAGAGUAUGGGAGAGGAUGGUAGAAUUCCACGUGUAGCGGUGAAAUGCGUACAGAUCUGGAGGAAUACCGAUGGCGAAGGCAGCCAUCUGGCCUAAUACUGACGCUGAGGUACGAAAGCAUGGGGAGCAAACACGAUUAUAUACCCUGGUAGUCCAUGCCGUAAACGAUGUCUACUACCCGCUGGGGCCUUUGAGGCUUUAGUGGCGCAGCUAACGCGAUAAGUAGACCGCCUGGGGAGUACGGUCGCAAGACUAAGACUCACAUGAAUUGACGGGGGCCCGCACAAUCGGUGGAGCAUGUGGUUUUAUUUCUAUGCAACGCGCAAAAACCUUAACCUGGCCCUGGAAUAAAUACAAAAAUUUCCGAAGAUGCAAUUGGUGGCCUUCCGGGAAUCUAGAAAAAAAGUGCUGCCAUGGGCUGUCUUUCACCUCG